GUGAUUCUUAAGGGCGCAAAUGACAUUGGAUGGAAAGGCUUUCUGCAGUCCAUUCUAAGUGUCACCGAAUCCAAAGCCACUUCUCGAAGUGGAGAGUUUGUUGAUGG